GGUAGCCUAGUGGUUAGAGUGUAGGGGCGGCAGGGUAGCCUAGUGGUUAGAGUGUAGAGGUGGUAGGGUAGCCUAGUGGUUAGAGUGUAGAGGUGGCAGGGUAGCCUAGUGGUUAGAGUGUAGAGGUGGUAGGGUAGCCUAGUGGUUAGAGUGUAGAGGUGGCAGGGUAGCCUAGUGGUUAGAGUGUAGGGGCGGCAGGGUAGCCUAGUGGUUAGAGUGUAGAGGUGGUAGGGUAGCCUAGUGGUUAGAGUGUAGGGGCGGCAGGUAGCCUAGUGGUUAGAGUGUAGAGGCGGAAGGGUAGCCUAGUGGUUAGAGUGUAGAGGCGGCAGGGUAGCCUAGUGGUUAGAGUGUAGAGGCGGCAGGGUAGCCUAGUGGUUAGAGUGUAGAGGCGGCAGGGUAGCCUAGUGGUUAGAGUGUAGAGGCGGCAGGGUAGCCUAGUGGUUAGAGUGUAGAGGCGGCAGGGUAGCCUAGUGGUUAGAGUGUAGAGGUGGCAGGGUAGCCUAGUGGUUAGAGUGUAGAGGUGGCAGGGUAGCCUAGUGGUUAGAGUGUAGAGGCGGCAGGGUAGCCUAGUGGUUAGAGUGUAGAGGCGGCAGGGUAGCCUAGUGGUUAGAGUGUAGAGGUGGCAGGGUAGCCUAGUGGUUAGAGUGUAGAGGUGGCAGGGUAGCCUAGUGGUUAGAGUGUAGAGGCGGCAGGGUAGCCUUGUGGUUAGAGUGUUGAGGUGGCAGGGUAGCCUAGUGGUUAGAGUGUAG